rnacentral:rRNA from 1 species
AACGAACGCUGGCGGCAUGCCUAACACAUGCGAGUCGAACGAGACCUUCGGGUCUAGUGGCGCACGGGUGCGUAACGCGUGGGAACCUGCCCUUAGGUUCGGAAUAACUCCCCGAAAGGGGUGCUAAUACCGGAUAAUGUCUUCGGACCAAAGAUUUAUCGCCUUUGGAUGGGCCCGCGUUGGAUUAGCUAGUUGGUAGGGUAAAAGCCUACCAAGGCGACGAUCCAUAGCUGGUCUGAGAGGAUGAUCAGCCACACUGGGACUGAGACACGGCCCAGACUCCUACGGGAGGCAGCAGUGGGGAAUAUUGGACAAUGGGCGAAAGCCUGAUCCAGCAAUGCCGCGUGAGUGAUGAAGGCCUUAGGGUUGUAAAGCUCUUUUACCCGGGAUGAUAAUGACAGUACCGGGAGAAUAAGCCCCGGCUAACUCCGUG